UACGAAGGGGGCUAGCGUUGUUCGGAAUUACUGGGCGUAAAGCGAACGUAGGCGGUGUUCCAUGUCAGAGGUGAAAGCCUGGGGCUCAACUCCAGAAUUGCCUUUGAAACGGGGACGCUUGAGUCCGAGAGAGGAUGGCGGAAUUCCUAGUGUAGAGGUGAAAUUCGUAGAUAUUAGGAAGAACACCGAUGGCGAAGGCGGCCAUCUGUCUCGGUACUGACGCUCAGGUUCGAAAGCGUGGGGAGCAAACAGG
rnacentral:rRNA from 1 species